rnacentral:lncRNA from 1 species
CACAAGGGCGAUUGUGCAACAGCGCAGAGAAAGGAUGGAGCUGCGUCCCAUUCCAUACCCCACGGUCCAUGGCACAGGAGCUCGAUUCUCUGUCCUUUCAAACUGCAUCAUUCAGUCACCUGCAGCCAGAUGAGACGCUGGACCCCAUUUCAUCUCCGUCCAGAGUGGAAGGAGUGGCUUGGUGAAAGCCGGGGGCCAACCGAGAGAGGUUAGGGCCUGGAGGUAGCCUGAGAAGACACACGACGCAGGGCCAAGUUCCACCUGUGAGCAUCAAGGAAACUGAGGGUGUGUGUGUGUGUGUGGACUGAACCCAGGGCCUUUGCCCUGAGCUACAUCCUCAGCCCUUUAUUGGAGACGGGUACUGCCUCAGCCUCCCAGAGUGCUCAGACUACAGAGAACAUCUGGCAAUUUUCAGUUUCCCAGCUGGAUGGAAGGAGCACAUACUACUGGUAGAGGCCAGGAAAGACAGAGCCCAGGGAAGCUGAUCUACGAUGCGCGAAACAGCUAUCUACCGUCAAGAACUGGCCCAUCCAAAACGUCAGUAGUGCUGAGGCUGAGAGACCCUGGAGUAGAGACACAGAUCAACAAAAUCUCGUUUUAAAAAAAGAUAGAAAAUAUGACCUCGAGGUGGGUAUGACCAGCAGAAAACAGCUGUGGCACUAACAGUGGGUAACUUGAGAGUCCGUUGAAUAGGGACCAUUAUGCAAGCAAGAACAAGAAGCAGGGACAACCAAGUCCUCCGGGGCUCGUAACAAGGAGAGGGACUGGUCACUGCAACUCGAGAUAAAGAGAGCUCUGUGGGCCGGGGAUUUAGCUCAGUGGUUCCACUGCCUGCCUCGAAAGUGCAAGGUCCCAAGCUGGAUCCCCGUACGAAAAAAAGAGAGAGAGAGAGCUGUGGCCGGAGGACCUCUCGGUAGGAGCCUGGACCUUUACUCAGGGGUCACCGCCAGCUCGCAGCAAGCUCAGGUAGCUCGAGUUCCCUCACUUCUCACCCCCUCAUUUCCGCUCAGUGUUUGCCAUAGCCAAGCCCAGUGGAGAACCUAUGAACAAAGAAGUAAUUAAUGCCAUCCGCAAAGGCCACAAGGACACAAGGCAGGCUGAAAGGAGGGUCUGAGUGAAUCUGGAGGGGCAAUGGGCCCUCUCCAGGCCAGGAUGGAAGGAAAAAGAAGACACAAGGCUCAGCUCAACAAGAAAAAAAUCAAUAGGGCCGGGGAUUUAGCUCAGUGGUUUCACCGCCUGCCUCGAAAGCGCAAGGACCCAAGUUCAAUAUCCAGUACAAAAAAAAAAAAAAGAAAAAGAAAAAAAUCAACACAUUCAACAUUCAUCAAGUUGUACCAGUCAGAGAAUGAAGGCAACCCACAAGCUAGGACAAAUACCUAUGUCAUGUAUUUAAAACAGUGGAUUAGUUUCUGGAAUAUAUAACAAAGUCUUAAUAAGAAAAAGAUAAAUAAUCAACUAAAGGUAAAUGACAUGAGUAAACACUUCUCAGAACAGGAAACACAAAUGGCCAAGAAACAUAGGAAGAGAUGUUCAACCUUGUUAGUAGUCAGGGAAAUGCAAAACUAAACCACAAUGAGAUAACACUUCAUUGUUACCACAAGCCUGGAAGAAUUAAAAAGUCAGACACUACAAGUCUAGCUCAGAACGUGAAGUAGAAGGAAUUCUUACAUAUUGUCAAAGUAAAAUGGUACUUUUGAAACACAGUUCCUAGUAAAAUUGAAGGCAGAUGUACCCUGUAACCCAGAAUUUCAAUCUAGCCCAACUCAGAGAAAUUCUUGCCCUUGAAUCAAGAGACAUAAAUACAUUAAUAGCAACACUGAUUUUAAAUAAACUUUUAACUUUGGAACAAUUUUACAUCUACAGAAAAAUUAUGAAGCUAAUACAGAGUUCCCAUGUACCCAAUUUUCUCUUCUUACAUUAGUAUGGUACAGCGAUACUAACAGCUAUUAUUAACUAAAGUCUACACCUUAUUGAGAUUUCCUUAGUUUGCCUAACGUCUUUUAGGCAGCCUGCUUUGAUGAUGCUGGGGAUUCAACCCAGGGCCUCACACAUGCUAAGCAUAUGCUCUGCCACUAGCUAAACCUCCAACCUCUGAAGCAUUGUUUUAAAUAACUAAAACUUGGUGGGUCGGACCCACAAAGCGCCCAUCAGCAGUAAAACAGAAAAACAAAUUGAGAUUUACUCAUUCCCAGGAUUACAGUAAACGAAUGAGCCACUGUAUGUCAACAUGGAUGAAUCUGAAGGAAUUCUGUUUUACAAAUGAGGAGAGGACCAAGAGUUGGGGGGGGGGGGGGAAGGGAAGGGCAUGAAAAGAGAAUUCCACUGUGCUAUGUCUCUGUACCAACUCCCCACAAGGAAUGGAAUCAUUAUUACUACAAAUGUAUACUAAUAAAAAAUAAAAACUAGACGAAAAAAAGUAAAAGGAAGUCUUGAAUAAAUACAUCCGGCUGGGAGUGGUGCACGCCUGUAAUCCCAGCCCACGGGAGGCUGAGGCAGGAGCAUCCCCAUGAGCUUGAGGCCAGCCUAGGCUACAUACUGAGUUUAAGUCCAGCCUGAACUACAUAGCAAGACCUUGUCUGAAAAAUUAAAAAAUAAAUAAAUAAAUAAACCUAUCCAACACGGUUCCAUUUAUAAAAUGGUCAAAAAUAGGCAAAAGGAAAUCAUAUAAUUUCAGGACAUUUGUAUAUGAGAUAAAAUAUCAAGCCUAGCAAAGAAAUGAUUAAGCCAAAAUACCAG